rnacentral:rRNA from 1 species
UACGGAGGGGGCUAGCGUUGUUCGGAAUCACUGGGCGUAAAGCGCACGUAGGCGGCUUUGCAAGUCAGAGGUGAAGGCCCGGGGCUCAACCCCGGAAUUGCCUUUGAGACUGCAUCGCUUGAACGUCGGAGAGGUGAGUGGAAUUCCGAGUGUAGAGGUGAAAUUCGUAGAUAUUCGGAAGAACACCAGUGGCGAAGGCGGCUCACUGGACGACUGUUGACGCUGAGGUGCGAAAGCGUGGGGAGCAAACAGG